CGGCGGACGGGUGAGUAACGCGUGGGUAACCUACCCCAAAGUCCGGGAUAACAGCGGGAAACCGCUGCUAAUACCGGAUGCCUUUACCUUGGGGCAUCUUGAGGUAAAGAAAGGUAACGCUUUGGGAUGGGCCCGCGUCCCAUUAGCUAGUUGGUGAGGUAACGGCUCACCAAGGCGACGAUGGGUAGCCGGCCUGAGAGGGUGGACGGCCACACUGGGACUGAGACACGGCCCAGACUCCUACGGGAGGCAGCAGUAGGGAAUAUUGCGCAAUGGACGGAAGUCUGACGCAGCGACGCCGCGUGAGCGAUGAAGGUCUUCGGAUCGUAAAGCUCUGUCCUUGGGGAAGAAGGCGAAAGCUUGACGGUACCCAAGAAGAAAGCCCCGGCUAACUACGUGCCAGCAGCCGCGGUAAUACGUAGGGGGCGAGCGUUGUCCGGAAUUACUGGGCGUA
rnacentral:rRNA from 1 species